rnacentral:rRNA from 1 species
GAUGAACGCUGGCGGCGUGCCUAAUACAUGCAAGUCGAGCGAACAGACGAGGAGCUUGCUCGUCGGACGUUAGCGGCGGACGGGUGAGUAACACGUGGAUAACCUACCUAUAAUACUGGGAUAACUUCGGGACACCGGAGCUAAUCCCGGAUAAUAUAUUGAACCGCAUGGUUCAAUAGUGAAAGACGGUUUUGCUGUCACUUCUAGCUGGAUACCCGCCGCAUUAGCUAGUUGGUCCGUUAACGGCUUACCACGGCAAGCAUGCGUAGCCGAACUGAGAGGGUGGUAGCCGACCUGGGAGCGGAGACGGGGACAAGACUACUACGGGAGGCAGCAGUCGGGAACGUUACGCAACGGGCGAAAGCCUGACGGAGUAACGGCGAGUGAGUGAUGACGGUGUUCCGAUCGUAAAAAUCUGUUAUUGGGGAAGAACAAAUGUGUAAGUAGAUGUGCCCGUAUUGACGGUAACGGAUCAGAAAGCCACGGCUAACUACGUG